rnacentral:tRNA from 1 species
GUCCCAUUGGCUCAGUGAGUUAAGGGCAUGGUGCUGGCCACACCAGCAAUGUGGGUUCAAUUCCUGCAUGGACCA